CCCUUAGAUGUCCUGGGCCGCACGCGCGUUACACUGAUGCAUUCAACGAGCUUAUAACCUUGGCCGAGAGGCCUGGGCAAUCUUGUUAACGUGCAUCGUGAUAGGGAUAGAUUAUUGAAAUUAUUAAUCUUGAACGAGGAAUUCCUAGUAAACGCAGAUCAUCAAUCUGCAUUGAUUACGUCCCUGCCCUUUGUGCACACCGCCCGUCGCACCUACCGAUUGGAUGGUCCGGUGAAGCCUCGGGAUUGUGGUUCUUGCCGCUUUAUUGUGGCGUGACCGCGAGAACUUGUCUAAACCUUAUCAUUUAGAGGAAGGUGAAGUCGUAACA
rnacentral:rRNA from 1 species